rnacentral:ncRNA from 1 species
AUGGUGGAAGCCGAAAAACCAGAAGAGAGUAGGCG